rnacentral:tRNA from 1 species
GAAGGUACAGCUCAGUGGUAGAGUGCAUGCUCAGCAUGCACAAGGUCCUGGGUUCAAUCCCCAGUACCUCCA